rnacentral:lncRNA from 1 species
CUCAUGGUCUUGCAUCAUUCCUGCUAGAGCAACAGAGCCCACGCUGAAUACCCAAAACACACAGUUUCCUCCAGACGGUCCUAAUUGCCAACCCAGUAUGGGAAUUUGGGAACCUUUGGCAAAUCAACUUGAACACUCUUAUGAAAUUUGGUGCAAGACUUACACAAUAACAGCAGCUGUCUGUAAAUACCUUCCUUUCCACCAGUACUCAGACAUGCACAUCCACAUACAGGGUGGGACUGAGCCAAGUCCUUUCUCUGGAAAGGUUUGCAGGGCUGUUUGAUUGAGUUCAUUCUCAGAUUUUCAUC